GGAGCUUGUCCAGUCACGCAGUGUGUAAUCGGGUCUGCGUAGCGCGCACUACACUUUAGUUGAACUAUCCUCCGUGAAAAAAAGCUGUAGGAGCAACUGGAACCCGAACAACUGACCCAGACAAACUCCUGUAGCAACACGAUGGUAAUUGCUUCCGCUUCCAAAUACCCAGAGACAGCCGCUAACUCCCUCUGGAUGAUUGACGGCAUUCAUUUCUCCUCUGCCAAACAGCGGUCACUUUGGGACAAUAUGACGUUUGGUACCUCUUUGGCUAUAGGAACACACCAUGACAGUGUGUCUGACGUGGAUGACACAUGGAUGUACCGCCGUGUGGAUCUGACGGCUCCAUCAUCUGCCUGAUUUAAACACAACUCUGGAUUUGGUUUUUGAACAAAAUAUGCAAAACCAUUUACUUCUAUAAAUAUAGAGAGAUAUGAGUGGAAUCUGCUGAGCAUGUGGGUAUUCGGUGUUCAAGCACUUCCAGCACACACACAGACACGCACACACACACACAGACACGCACACACACGCACACACACAGACACGCACACACACACAGCCUGAUCAUGGCGACAGCGGCCGACGGCUGUCCUCCGGACCGGCGGGGCUGGGUGGAGUUCG
ensembl:lncRNA